AGCAGCCGCGGUAAUUCCAGCUCCAAUAGCGUAUAUUAAAGUUGUUGCAGUUAAAAAGCUCGUAGUUGAAUUUCGGGGUCAGUAGGCUGGUCGUGCCACAGGUACGCACUGGUCUCACUGAUUCCUCCUUCCUGAUGAACCGUAAUGCCAUUAAUUUGGUGUUGCGGGGAGACUGGACUGUUACUUUGAAAAAAUUAGAGUGUUUAAAGCAGGCUAACGCUUGAAUACAUUAGCAUGGAAUAAUGAAAUAGGACGUUCGGUCUUAUUUUGUUGGUUUCUAAGAUUGACGUAAUGAUUAAUAGGGAUAGUUGGGGGCAUUAGUAUUCAAUUGUCAGAGGUGAAAUUCUUGGAUUUAUUGAAGACUAACUACUGCGAAAGCAUUUGCCAAGGAUGUUUUCAUUAAUCAAGAACGAAAGUUAGGGGAUCGAAGACGAUCAGAUACCGUCGUAGUCUUAACCAUAAACUAUGCCGACUAGGGAUCGGAUGAUGUUAAUUUUUUAAUGACUCA
rnacentral:rRNA from 1 species